rnacentral:rRNA from 1 species
AACGAACGCUGGCGGCAGGCCUAACACAUGCAAGUCGAGCGAGGACUUCGGUUCUAGCGGCGGACGGGUGAGUAACGCGUGGGAAUGUGCCCUUCUCUACGGAAUAGCCCUGGGAAACUGGGAGUAAUACCGUAUACGCCCUAUUGGGGAAAGAUUUAUCGGAGAAGGAUCAGCCCGCGUUGGAUUAGGUAGUUGGUGGGGUAAUGGCCUACCAAGCCGACGAUCCAUAGCUGGUUUGAGAGGAUGAUCAGCCACACUGGGACUGAGACACGGCCCAGACUCCUACGGGAGGCAGCAGUGGGGAGUCGUAGACAAUGGGGGCAACCCUGAUCUAGCCAUGCCGCGUGAGUGAUGAAGGCCUUAGGGUUGUAAAGCUCUUUCAGCUGGGAAGAUAAUGACGGUACCAGCAGAAGAAGCCCCGGCUAACUCCGUG